CGAACGGGAUGCUUAGGCAUCUAGUGGCGGACGGGUGAGUAACGCGUGAGAAUCUGGCUCCAGGUCGGGGAUAACAGUUGGAAACGACUGCUAAUACCGGAUGUGCCGAGAGGUGAAAGAUUUAUUGCCUGGAGAUGAGCUCGCGUCUGAUUAGCUAGUUGGUGGUGUAAGGGACCACCAAGGCGUCGAUCAGUAGCUGGUCUGAGAGGAUGAUCAGCCACACUGGGACUGAGACACGGCCCAGACUCCUACGGGAGGCAGCAGUGGGGAAUUUUCCGCAAUGGGCGAAAGCCUGACGGAGCAAUACCGCGUGAGGGAGGAAGGCUCUUGGGUCGUAAACCUCUUUUCUCAAGGAAGAAGAAAGUGACGGUACUUGAGGAAUAAGCAUCGGCUAACUCCGUGCCAGCAGCCGCGGUAAUACGGAGGAUGCAAGCGUUAUCCGGAAUGAUUGGGCGUAAAGGGUCUGCAGGUGGAACUGAAAGUCUGCUGUUAAAGAGUUUGGCUUAACCAAAUAAAAGCGGUGGAAACUACAGAACUAGAGUGUGGUAGGGGCAAAAGGAAUUCCUGGUGUAGCGGUGAAAUGCGUAGAUAUCAGGAAGAACACCGGUGGCGAAAGCGUUUUGCUAGACCAUAACUGACACUGAGGGACGAAAGCUAGGGGAGCGAAUGGGAUUAGAUACCCCAGUAGUCCUAGCCGUAAACGAUGGAUACUAGGCGUGGCUUGUAUCGACCCGAGCCGUGCCGGAGCUAACGCGUUAAGUAUCCCGCCUGGGGAGUACGCACGCAAGUGUGAAACUCAAAGGAAUUGACGGGGGCCCGCACAAGCGGUGGAGUAUGUGGUUUAAUUCGAUGCAACGCGAAGAACCUUACCAAGACUUGACAUCCUGCGAAUCCUGGUGAAAGCUGGGAGUGCCUUCGGGAGCGCAGAGACAGGUGGUGCAUGGCUGUCGUCAGCUCGUGUCGUGAGAUGUUGGGUUAAGUCCCGCAACGAGCGCAACCCUCGUUUUUAGUUGCCAGCAUUAAGUUGGGCACUCUAGAGAGACUGCCGGUGACAAACCGGAGGAAGGUGAGGAUGACGUCAAGUCAGCAUGCCCCUUACGUCUUGGGCUACACACGUACUACAAUGCUACGGACAGAGGGCAGCGAGCCAGGGAUGGCAAGCGAAUCCAGAAACCGUAGCUCAGUUCAGAUCGAAGGCUGCAACUCGCCUUCGUGAAGGAGGAAUCGCUAGUAAUUGCAGGUCAGCAUACUGCAGUGAAUUCGUUCCCGGGCCUUGUACACACCGCCCGUCACACCAUGGAAGUUGGUCACGCCCGAAGUCAUUACCCCAACCGAAAGGAGGGGGAUGCCUAAGGUAGGACUGGUGACUGGGGUGAAGUCGUAACAAGGUAGCCGUACCGGAAGGUGUGGCUGGAUCACCUCCUUU
rnacentral:rRNA from 1 species